UCAGCAUCCUUGGGAACCUGUUCCGAGGCUAGAUGUGAUAUGUGGUGUGAAGAAAGACUACAGCAGGCAUUCAAAGUUCUACCAUGUCAAUUUCUUGGUAUACUAUGAUGAUGUUUCUUCAGCCCGUGUGCUCUUUUUUGCUGAAGUGUGGGUGUCGAGCUUUCAGGCCAAACUUAGCACAUCUGUGAAUCUGGUAAAUGGACCAUGUAUUAGAUAUGGUUGCCAAGUUGAAUCUAAUGUGCAGUUCACCAAGGUGUAUAGUAUAUCUAGAAAGGAAUCAGAAACUUCAUUUUGUUGUCCACUACCUCAUUACAGUCCAGAUCGUCCAUACCUUGGACGUUGCACUUAUUGUGAGCCUAUUUCAUGCAAAAUUGUGCAUCCACCAUCUGGGAAUCAUACCGGGGCAAACUCCAGUCAACUUGGAGAACUCUUUGGAUAUUUGAAUUUUCGUGAUUAUAAGCCUUCUGCUGCGGAUAGCAUAACGGAGUCAGAUUUUGUAUACUUUGAUUGUCAUAGGGACACCAAGUUUGCAGAAGGUCUCAAUGGCAGAAGCUCUUUGGCGGAGAAGAAGGCGUUGAUCAUCCGCUGAUCCUAAUUAGGUGGAGGAAUAGUUGUUUGCACUGUGCCAAAGGAACCUUGCAAGCCCGAAAUCGCCAACAUGAGCAACCAUGUCAUCGUCGAGGAUAAUAUUGCUUGGUUUAAGGUCACAGUGAACAAUUGGAAAUGGCUUGUGGUGAUGUAAAUAGUCGAGUGCAGAGGCCACAUCCAUGCUCUCUACAUCAAGGCUCUAUCGCUGCUGCCGCACAAGGCGCUCCACAGGCACCUCCGCGGCAUCCUGGUUGCAGGGCAUUGCUAUGGCCCCAUGGACCCUGCGUCCAACAUAAUUCUCAAUGCCAUCUGGUACGACACCGUAUUCCCUCAGCCGGAGAUGGACGCUGAGUUUGAGCCGGACAUUCUCGACAGCGAAUCUAUGCUUCGCGUGGAGGUCCGCGCCCUCGAAAGCCUUGUUGCCUUGGUCACCACAGCCACUGGCUUUUCACAACACAUGGCCAUCGAAUACCUCUGCUACAAGCAAUGCGACCUAUC